AACGCACCUUGCACUGUCUAGUAUUCUGGACAGUAUGCUUUUUUGAGUGUCGCAAACCUCUCAUCCCCCGCCCUUGCUUUAUCGCAGGGCGUGCGGGCAUGGACCGUGGCUGUCAUGGUUGCUUGCUCUGCGAGCGGCCCAGCCGAAAUGCACACCAAGCGGAUGUCCGUCUCGCAUAGGCGCGGCUUGACCGAGUGUUGUAGUGUCGUACAAGCACAUUCGGGACGCCCUUAGCGAACGGCUCUGCGCCGGAAGACGCGAUUUACACGCAUCGACCUCAAAUAAAGCAGGACUACCCGCUGAACUUAA
rnacentral:misc_RNA from 1 species